AUUGAACGCUGGCGGCAGGCUUAACACAUGCAAGUCGAACGAGUGGCGGACGGGUGAGUAAUGCCUGGGAAUCUAGCUUAUGGAGGGGGAUAACUACGGGAAACGGUAGCUAAUACCGCAUACCAUAGGAUGUGCCCAAGUGGGAUUAGGUAGUAGGUGGGGUAAAGGCUAACCAAGCCGACGAGCCCUAGCUGGUCUGAGAGGAUGACCAGCCACACUGGGACUGAGACACGGCCCAGACUCCUACGGGAGGCAGCAGUGGGGAAUAUUGCGCAAUGGGGGCAACCCUGACGCAGCCAUGCCGCGUGUAUGAAGAAGGCCUGCGGGUUGGAAAGUACUUUCAGUAGGGAGGCGUUACCCACAGAAGAAGCACCGGCGAACUCCGUGCCAGCAGCCGCGGUAAUUC
rnacentral:rRNA from 1 species